UCCGUGGAUGGGGGCGGGGGCGCUGGGAGAUCCAGGCCAAGGCCUUGAACAGGAGCGAGCUGUGAGGGAGUGUGGCUGCGGUGGGCGUGGGAAGAGUGGGGAUGAGGUCAGAGGGCUGGGCCGGGCCAGCACGGCCGGUCAAGAGCGUGGAUCUUAUUCUCAGUGUGACCGGCCGGCGCCGGAAAGUCCAAAGCAGGGGGCGAGAUUCCAGAUCUGAUCUUUCUCCUGCUGGAGCCCAGAUUACAGAGGCAGGAGGGGCAGGGAGCCAGGGGAGGCUGUGCGGGGGGUCCAGGAGCCGGAUCCUGUUGCCACACCGGGAAGGUCAGAGCACCGGGAAGGUCAGAGCCAAGGCCGCUGGAAGUGGACGGAUUCAGGACACGCUUGAAGGCUGGUUUCCCUCGCAACAUGAGUUACAAAGGGGCUCUUCCCCUAGGGGAUCUCGACAGGUAAGAGCCUUUUGCUUCCAGAACCCUUCAGCCCUCCAGAAGGCAGGGUGGAGGUGGACAUACCAGGUUCUAAUCCAAAGUGCCACUUGCCUGCUCUGUGAGCUUGGGUAAGUUGCUUACUCUCCCUGGGCCUCCGUUUCCUCAUCUAUAAAAUGGGGAUAAUGAUGCAUCACUGUCAGGUUCACGUGAGGAUUAAGACCAGGGCCACGGGGAGCAGGUCCCUCCCUCUUCCUUCCAGAGAGGUUGAGAAAACAGCAAAAUGCCAAGAGUCCGAAGGGCAGGCUGGCAGCCCCCGGCUGACUCCGCGGGCUCCCAGGAGGCAGAAAGGGAAACCAAGGAAGCAACUGCUGGUGGGAGGCUGCUGAGAAGAAGGUGCUGGUAGCAAUAGCCUGGGAGCUGUGAGGCCAGGAGCCGGAAUCAGGAGGAAGGAUGUGGCCGUGGGCCAGCUGCUCUGUGCAUCGGGAGAGAAAGGAUGACGCCUGGUCUGGACCGGGAACCGCAGAGGGAAGGGGUGAGGGGCUGUGAGGCUCAGGCCCUGGUCCUCUGCCCUCCUUGCCACCCCGGACCUCUGACCCCGAGGGUUUGGCAUUGGGGGGCAUAGCCCCGGCCCUGCUGAGCACCCCCACCACCGGUGCCCAGAGGAGCGGGCAGGCCUGUGUGCCCCUCCCCUGGCCCUCGCCCUCCCCACCCUCUGCCCCAGCCUUGAGACGGAAGCCUUGUUCCCAGAGAUGAGGCCGGCACUGCGCGGCCAGACGCACCUGGGUGUGCCCUCAGCGCUGGUCCAGGAUGAGGGGCACCUGGGCGCUGUCCACCUGGGGCGGCAGCCGCUCGCCCGUGCGCACGUUGAACAUGG